rfam:Gossypium arboreum cultivar AKA8401 contig_81460_1, whole genome shotgun sequence.
AAUCCAUGGUGAGGACACCUUCGCAGUAGGUUCUUAAAUCUCUCCCAUACAUCGUAAGGAGGUUCUAAGUCCAUCUGCACAAACGAAGAGAUAUCAUUAUGUAAUU